GCGCUCCGUAUUUUCUGCGCUCCAGGUCCACUACCUCGUGAAACUCGACUCUCGGAGGACGAGGAAGACGAGGAGAACAAGAUGGACAAGAAGGACGAGGAUUAGUGCACGGAAAGUCCGUCAAUGGAACGGUCUGCUGACUCCGAAGGAUCUCUACUGGAUGUGGAUGAAACUUUGGAAAGAAGUAAAGAGGUUCUAGGAUCACCAUUCUACGAAGAAAAACUGCGUCAGCUGUCAACUGGCCAAUUAACAGAGUUUCUCGGUGAAAUGGAAUCCUUGGUCGGAGCGCUCAGCGAAACUUUAAUAGCUGAGUAUUAUUAUUAUUAAUAUUAGCUUACUUUUGUAAGUAUUUAUGAAUACAGCCUCCAUGAAUAUUCAUUGUUGGUAUAUAAGGUCUG
rnacentral:lncRNA from 1 species